AGUGGGUGUAGCGUACCUACUAGCUUACGACGGGUACGGGUUGUGAGAGCAAGAGCCCGGAGAUGGAUUCUGAGACACGAAUCCAGGCCCUACGGGGUGCAGCAGGCGCGAAAACUUUACAAUGCUGGCAACAGCGAUAAGGGAACCUCGAGUGCCAGGUUACAAAUCUGGCUGUCGAGAUGCCUAAAAAGCAUUUCAUAGCAAGGGCCGGGCAAGACCGGUGCCAGCCGCCGCGGUAACACCGGCGGCUCGAGUGGUAACCGUUAUUAUUGGGUCUAAAGGGUCUGUAGCCGGCCGGAUAAGUCUCUUGAGAAAUCUGGCAGCUUAACUGUCAGGCUUUCAGGAGAUACUGUCUGGCUCGAGGCCGGGAGAGGUGAGAGGUACUUCAGGGGUAGGGGUGAAAUCUUGUAAUCCUUGAAGGACCACCAGUGGCGAAGGCGUCUCACCAGAACGGACCUGACGGCAAGGGACGAAAGCUAGGGGCACGAACCGGAUUAGAUACCCGGGUAGUCCUAGCCGUAAACGAUACUCGCUAGGUGUCGGCCACGGUGCGACCGUUGUCGGUGCCGUAGGGAAGCCGUGAAGCGAGCCACCUGGGAAGUACGGCCGCAAGGCUGAAACUUAAAGGAAUUGGCGGGGGAGCACCACAACGGGUGGAGCUUGCGGUUUAAUUGGAUUCAACGCCGGAAAUCUUACCGGGACCGACAGCAAUAUGAAGGCCAGGCUGAAGACUUUGCCGGAUUAGCUGAGAGGUGGUGCAUGGCCGUCGUCAGUUCGUACUGUGAAGCAUCCUGUUAAGUCAGGUAACGAGCGAGACCCA
rnacentral:rRNA from 1 species